rnacentral:rRNA from 1 species
GCAAGUGCGGGUGCUAUACAUGCAGUCGAGCGGACAGAUGGGAGCUUGCUCCCUGAUGUUAGCGGCGGACGGGUGAGUAACACGUGGGUAACCUGCCUGUAAGACUGGGAUAACUCCGGGAAACCGGGGCUAAUACCGGAUGGUUGUCUGAACCGCAUGGUUCAGACAUAAAAGGUGGCUUCGGCUACCACUUACAGAUGGACCCGCGGCGCAUUAGCUAGUUGGUGAGGUAACGGCUCACCAAGGCGACGAUGCGUAGCCGACCUGAGAGGGUGAUCGGCCACACUGGGACUGAGACACGGCCCAGACUCCUACGGGAGGCAGCAGUAGGGAAUCUUCCGCAAUGGACGAAAGUCUGACGGAGCAACGCCGCGUGAGUGAUGAAGGUUUUCGGAUCGUAAAGCUCUGUUGUUAGGGAAGAACAAGUGCCGUUCAAAUAGGGCGGCACCUUGACGGUACCUAACCAGAAAGCCACGGCUAACUACGUGCCAGCAGCCGCGGUAAUACGUAGGUGGCAAGCGUUGUCCGGAAUUAUUGGGCGUAAAGGGCUCGCAGGCGGUUUCUUAAGUCUGAUGUGAAAGCCCCCGGCUCAACCGGGGAGGGUCAUUGGAAACUGGGGAACUUGAGUGCAGAAGAGGAGAGUGGAAUUCCACGUGUAGCGGUGAAAUGCGUAGAGAUGUGGAGGAACACCAGUGGCGAAGGCGACUCUCUGGUCUGUAACUGACGCUGAGGAGCGAAAGCGUGGGGAGCGAACAGGAUUAGAUACCCUGGUAGUCCACGCCGUAAACGAUGAGUGCUAAGUGUUAGGGGGUUUCCGCCCCUUAGUGCUGCAGCUAACGCAUUAAGCACUCCGCCUGGGGAGUACGGUCGCAAGACUGAAACUCAAAGGAAUUGACGGGGGCCCGCACAAGCGGUGGAGCAUGUGGUUUAAUUCGAAGCAACGCGAAGAACCUUACCAGGUCUUGACAUCCUCUGACAAUCCUAGAGAUAGGACGUCCUCCUUCGGGGGCAGAGUGACAGUG